rnacentral:tRNA from 1 species
GAGGGUAUAGUUCAGUGGUGGAGUGCAUGCCUAGCAUGCAUGAGGUCCUGGGUUCAAUCCCCAGUAACUCCA